rnacentral:rRNA from 1 species
AUUGAACGCUGGCGGCAGGCCUAACACAUGCAAGUCGAACGAGUGGCGGACGGGUGAGUAAUGUCUGGGAAACUGCCUGAUGGAGGGGGAUAACUACUGGAAACGGUAGCUAAUACCGCCUAGCAACGGAUGUGGCCAGAUGGGAGUAGCUAGUAGGUGGGGUAAAGGCUCACCUAGGCGACGAUCCCUAGCGGGUCUGAGAGGAUGACCAGCCACACUGGAACGGAGACACGGUCCAGACUCCUACGGGAGGCAGCAGUGGGGAAUAUUGCACAAUGGGCGCAAGCCUGAUACAGCCAUGCCGCGUGUAUGAAGAAGGCCUUCGGGUUGUAAAGUACUUUCAGUGGGGAGGCGUUACCCGCAGAAGAAGCACCGGCUAACUCCGUGCCAGCAGCCGCGGUAAUUC